rnacentral:misc_RNA from 1 species
AACGCACAUUGCGCUCUCCGGUACUCCGGUGAGCAUGCCCGUUUCAGAAUCAGUAACAAAUUCUCGCCAAACUCGAGUGGUUCCGAGAGGGACGCUCGGAUGAGGCGGACUUUGGACGUGCUGUCUCCUUGGAGACUCGUCCCAAACUGAUUUGGAAGUGCGGAGGCCCCGUCGACUCUUUUGGAGACGGACCUUGCAAAGCAGCAACAAAGACAUUUUGUGUGCCUUCAAACUCUUUGCUCGGUCGUAGGUGCCUCUCGCAAUCGCUUCCUCCACCGCCAGCUGGUUCAUUCCGGUAGGCAACUGAAGGACGCCUCCGUGGAGGAGUCCCUCAAAAACUUGGUCUGAAAUCGGGCAAGAAAACCCGCUGAACUUAA